GACAGCUGCUCAGAGACAGCGAGGCUCCAUUGGUUGUUUUAAUCCGCGGCCAAUACAGGAACAACGGAAUUAAAGAAGAGCUGUUUGUUUGGCAUGAAUUUCAACUUUCAGCGCUACUAGUCUAGUCUGCUCUUGUUGUUUACACCGGAAGUCACAGCUACUUCCUUGGCAACCGAGCGAGUCCCUAGCAACCACUGG